rnacentral:rRNA from 2 species
CGGUUAAGUUAGAAAGGGCGCACGGUGGAUGCCUUGGCACUAGGAGCCGAUGAAGGACGGGACGAACACCGAUAUGCUUCGGGGAGCUGUAAGCAAGCUUUGAUCCGGAGAUUUCCGAAUGGGGAAACCCACCACUCGUAAUGGAGUGGUAUCCAUAUCUGAAUACAUAGGAUAUGAGAAGGCAGACCCGGGGAACUGAAACAUCUAAGUACCCGGAGGAAGAGAAAGCAAAUGCGAUUCCCUGAGUAGCGGCGAGCGAAACGGGAUCAGCCCAAACCAAGAGGCUUGCCUCUUGGGGUUGUAGGACACUCUGUACGGAGUUACAAAGGAACGAGGUAGAUGAAGAGGUCUGGAAAGGCCCGCCAUAGGAGGUAACAGCCCUGUAGUCAAAACUUCGUUCUCUCCUGAGUGGAUCCUGAGUACGGCGGAACACGUGAAAUUCCGUCGGAAUCCGGGAGGACCAUCUCCCAAGGCUAAAUACUCCCUAGUGACCGAUAGUGAACCAGUACCGUGAGGGAAAGGUGAAAAGCACCCCGGAAGGGGAGUGAAAGAGAUCCUGAAACCGUGUGCCUACAAGUAGUCAGAGCCCGUUAACGGGUGAUGGCGUGCCUUUUGUAGAAUGAACCGGCGAGUUACGAUCCCGUGCAAGGUUAAGCAGAAGAUGCGGAGCCGCAGCGAAAGCGAGUCUGAAUAGGGCGAAUUGAGUACGUGGUCGUAGACCCGAAACCAGGUGAUCUACCCAUGUCCAGGGUGAAGUUCAGGUAACACUGAAUGGAGGCCCGAACCCACGCACGUUGAAAAGUGCGGGGAUGAGGUGUGGGUAGGGGUGAAAUGCCAAUCGAACCUGGAGAUAGCUGGUUCUCUCCGAAAUAGCUUUAGGGCUAGCCUCAAGGUAAGAGUCUCGGAGGUAGAGCACUGAUUGGACUAGGGGCCCCUACCGGGUUACCGAAUUCAGUCAAACUCCGAAUGCCGAUGACUUAUCCUUGGGAGUCAGACUGCGAGUGAUAAGAUCCGUAGUCGAAAGGGAAACAGCCCAGACCGCCAGCUAAGGUCCCAAAGUAUACGUUAAGUGGAAAAGGAUGUGGAGUUGCUUAGACAACCAGGAUGUUGGCUUAGAAGCAGCCACCAUUUAAAGAGUGCGUAAUAGCUCACUGGUCGAGUGACUCUGCGCCGAAAAUGUACCGGGGCUAAACGUAUCACCGAAGCUGCGGACUGUUCUUCGAACAGUGGUAGGAGAGCGUUCUAAGGGCUGUGAAGCAAGACCGGAAGGACUUGUGGAGCGCUUAGAAGUGAGAAUGCCGGUAUGAGUAGCGAAAGAGGGGUGAGAAUCCCCUCCACCGAAUGCCUAAGGUUUCCUGAGGAAGGCUCGUCCGCUCAGGGUUAGUCGGGACCUAAGCCGAGGCCGAAAGGCGUAGGCGAUGGAUAACAGGUUGAUAUUCCUGUACCACCUCCUCACCAUUUGAGCAAUGGGGGGACGCAGGAGGAUAGGGUAAGCGCGGUAUUGGAUAUCCGCGUCCAAGCAGUUAGGCUGGGAAAUAGGCAAAUCCGUUUCCCGUGAAGGCUGAGCUGUGAUGGCGAGCGAAUUAUAGUAGCGAAGUUCCUGAUUCCACACUGCCAAGAAAAGCCUCUAGCGAGGUGAGAGGUGCCCGUACCGCAAACCGACACAGGUAGGCGAGGAGAGAAUCCUAAGGUGAUCGAGAGAACUCUCGUUAAGGAACUCGGCAAAAUGACCCCGUAACUUCGGGAGAAGGGGUGCUCUGUUAGGGUGCAAGCCCGAGAGAGCCGCAGUGAAUAGGCCCAGGCGACUGUUUAGCAAAAACACAGGUCUCUGCGAAGCCGUAAGGCGAAGUAUAGGGGCUGACGCCUGCCCGGUGCUGGAAGGUUAAGAGGAGCGCUUAGCGUAAGCGAAGGUGCGAAUUGAAGCCCCAGUAAACGGCGGCCGUAACUAUAACGGUCCUAAGGUAGCGAAAUUCCUUGUCGGGUAAGUUCCGACCCGCACGAAAGGCGCAACGAUCUGGGCACUGUCUCAACGAGAGACUCGGUGAAAUUAUAGUACCUGUGAAGAUGCAGGUUACCCGCGACAGGACGGAAAGACCCCGUGGAGCUUUACUGCAGCCUGAUAUUGAAUGUUGGUACAGCUUGUACAGGAUAGGUAGGAGCCUUGGAAACCGGAGCGCCAGCUUCGGUGGAGGCAUCGGUGGGAUACUACCCUGGCUGUAUUGACCUUCUAACCCGCCGCCCUUAUCGGGCGGGGAGACAGUGUCAGGUGGGCAGUUUGACUGGGGCGGUCGCCUCCUAAAAGGUAACGGAGGCGCCCAAAGGUUCCCUCAGAAUGGUUGGAAAUCAUUCGCAGAGUGUAAAGGCACAAGGGAGCUUGACUGCGAGACCUACAAGUCGAGCAGGGACGAAAGUCGGGCUUAGUGAUCCGGUGGUUCCGCAUGGAAGGGCCAUCGCUCAACGGAUAAAAGCUACCCCGGGGAUAACAGGCUUAUCUCCCCCAAGAGUCCACAUCGACGGGGAGGUUUGGCACCUCGAUGUCGGCUCAUCGCAUCCUGGGGCUGUAGUCGGUCCCAAGGGUUGGGCUGUUCGCCCAUUAAAGCGGUACGCGAGCUGGGUUCAGAACGUCGUGAGACAGUUCGGUCCCUAUCCGUCGUGGGCGCAGGAAAUUUGAGAGGAGCUGUCCUUAGUACGAGAGGACCGGGAUGGACGCACCGCUGGUGUACCAGUUGUUCUGCCAAGGGCAUCGCUGGGUAGCUAUGUGCGGACGGGAUAAGUGCUGAAAGCAUCUAAGCAUGAAGCCCCCCUCAAGAUGAGAUUUCCCAUUCCGCAAGGAAGUAAGAUCCCUGAAAGAUGAUCAGGUUGAUAGGUCUGAGGUGGAAGUGUGGCGACACAUGGAGCUGACAGAUACUAAUCGAUCGAGGACUUAACCAAUUU